UUCUUCAGUUUUAUUUUCCAUGAUUGUUCAAUUCUCCUUAUCGCAAACACUGCACAUGUCAAACUGUUGGUUUAUCCAGGAUCAAUCAUUCCUUUGGUUAGUAAAUAAACAUGUUUGUGCAAAAAAAGAAAGAAGAUAAAAGAAAAUGUGACUUUCCUUUUCGAGGCUCACAACCCCAAUCUCAGGAGUGUCUUGAUCUUGGCCCGAGCACCUUUCUUUCUAACUUUCAUGUUUAAUUAAAUCUGUUGAACUUACUUUCAAAAACAAUUCUAACUGUGCUUCAAACCAGCUCAUCCUGACUCCUUUUCCCAGAAGAUAUGAAGGAUCCAGCUCCUCCUGAGUGGAAGUCCCUAGAGGAUAAGGGUUCCUGAGACUGGGCAGCAAUUCUGGGCCGGCUGGCUCCUCCAUGCUUUCGCUGACAAGCUGAAAUGUGAGGGCUGUCUUGCCUCUGGCCUCUUUAGUUUAACCAGCAAAGCUAGGAAAGACAAAAGAAGCAUGUUCGGGGACAAAGAGUCAUCAGAGCAGGGCAGGAUUGGACGUGACAAAAGGUACAGUUGCUCUCAUUUGAUGAUUAGAUGGUACAGUAUCAGGCACACAAUGCUAAUAUCUCUAUGUAUGUAUCACCAGGACAGCUUUGUGAUGGUUAGUAUUGGUCGUCAACUUGAGAGAACCUGGAAGGGGGCCUCUGCAUGAUUUUCUUGAUGACAUUCAUGGAGGCGAAAAUGGAACGUUUUACGUAGAAGAGAGUUGGCGGUACUAGUGAGCACCUGUGCAUUCCCUCAUCUCUAUUCCAGCUGCUCUAUUCUGCUGCUCUAACUUGCCUACCAUCACGGACUGUCCUUUGAAGUAUAAAUCGAAACAAACCCUUUCUCCCCUCAGUUGCUGUUGUCAGGGUAGUUUAUUACAGCAACAAGAAAAGAAAGUAAGGUGAGCUUUAAUCAUGGAGUUUCAUGAACUCAGUGCCUUUUCUAUACAAGUAUAAACCCACACAUUUUGAAGAAUAUCUAGCUAAACACUAAAAAUUAUCUGUGGCGUCACAUUCUUUACUCCACAUAUUUAUGUGUUUGCUGUGUAUAUAUACACACACAUAUAACAUCUCUAUAUGUAAUUCACGUUAUGGAGCACUGUGCAGAGAAUGUCCUAGAGUGAGUGGUUUUAAGAGAGAUGCCUCUGACUCUCUCUCACAUCUGAGAAUGAGGAUUUGAGCAAAUUAUUUCUAGGAGACCCUGACUGGUAAGGCAGGCAUGCAUUGCGGACAUCUUAGCAAUUUGGGGCUCUCGUUGGCUACCCACAUCCACCUGUCCUAAUUGUCUGAAAAGUUAUUUAUUUAUAUUUUACCUAAAAUAUAUCAUUCCGUCCACCUUCACACUGGGCAGCCUAAUCCCUUUACCUGCAUGUACCAUGCACACGCCUCUCUGAAAGAUGCACCCAGUGACUUUGGAUUUCCACUCAACAUAAAUGCACACGCACCCCUCUCUGAACAAUGUGAUGGGUUUCUUUUACCUUGAAAACCGUCAAACUUAGAUUGUAUUCAGUUCCAUGAUCCCUAUGUCUGGACAGAAUGGAAAGGCUGACAGCUCUGGUUGAGACGAAUGUGCAAUAAGGCAAAAUUGUGGCCUUUUAGGAACAAUAUCCCAACUUAUGCCUUUGCAUAAUUGUAUACAUAUUAUGGGGGAGGGACAUGCACUAUAAAUGUGACCUGAUGUACCAAAAUAGAAAACCACCCAAACUAUCUCCCUGGUAAACAACCAAAUUUUCUCUUAAAUCCCCAAUGAGAGAGCCAUAUUUGGACCCAUCCUAUACUCCCUCAUGUGGCCUGCUGCUAUCUUGUGAUGUGUUUUCUGAACUGUCCUAGAGAUUUCCUUUGAAGAGUUUGUGACUUGUGUAAUUUGUCUUUUCGGAUAAGAGACCAAGGACCCAGAAACAUCUGAAGAAACAUCUCAAGCCCUACUCAUGGCCACACUGGAACCUUGCUCUCAAGCCCGUUUAGAUUCAUGCUGCAAUUAUGCUCUGCUUCUUGUCUUUGGCACGUGGGUUUCUCCAGAGUCCAGCAGCAGUCCUGAUGUGGCUACCAUAUGGACUCAAACUGUUCCAGCGGCUGAUUCCUGUUCAGCCCCCAUCAACGCAGCAUGCUAACUACUUUUAAAAAGUUCCAUUACAGCUCCCCAUCUGAUGCUGCUGUCUGGGGUUGGAGCCUUUAGAGGAAGGUCUGGCUAGCAGAGAAUGGUCACUAUGGGUGAGUCUCUGAAAGUCUGGCCAGAUCCUCAGUUCCAGAACUGCUCUCUGCUUUGCUAAUGUGUACACAGUUGCUACCUUAACCUCUCUCCACGCUUCCCCACCCAGGAUGGACUGAGACCCUCUGAAAGUAUAAGGUGAAACUCCCUUGUUUGUCACAAAUUUUGCCAUAGGAAUGCCAAAGUAAGACAAGUUUCAAUUUUAUCUCUUUUUCUUUUUCUGAAAUAGGUCCUACUAUGCAACCCUGGGUAGCCUAGAAAUCUGUGUAGCCCCAGGCUGGCCUCAGAGACCUGCCUGUCUCCUUUCUAGGACGACAGAAUCAAAUACACUACACCAGUGUAUUUAUUCAUAUUUAAAUGAUUGUUCUUUUGUUUAUGAAGUAGAUUCUAUCUGGCCCAGACUGUUGUUGGAUUCAGAAUCUUGCUACCAUAAUACCCUAAAACUAGGAUUACAGAAAUGCACCUCUCCACCUAUUUUUCAGGUUAACUGCAUCUGGAAUCAACUAAAACCCAGAGCUGGGCACCCCUGUGAGACUUUUCUUGAAUUCUUUGAGGUAGGAAUACCCACCCUAAAUCUGGGCCACACCUUCUUCUAGUAGCCUACAUGAAGGACAAGGGAGGAAGCUUUUGCUUUUUGCCUGUUUGCCAUUAUGCUUGCUGGCAAGCUCAUCUAUCCUGCUGCUGGGUGAUUCCUUUGCUGAUAUUCAAAUGUACUUACUUCUUCAAGAUUCCAAUGGAUUUUGAAGACCAGCCGAGUCGUCCAUUCUUAUGGUCUGAACAAUUAUUGGAUUCUUGACUUUGUUAGAAGACAGCCAUUGUUGGAAUAGACCCACAGCCAGGAAGCCACUCUAAUAAAUCCACUCUCUAUCAGUAGUGUUCUACAGAACGAAUUCAGACGGUGGUACCAGGAGUGGGGUAGGUGUUCUGACUUCAAAUGAUCCUAUCAUUACAAGUUUGCCUAGAUGCUUCCCUUUUAGUUGACUGCAGAUAUAGCCAAGGUGAUACCAAGAUCAGCUAUCACACAUGAUCUAACUGUAUAGCCCACAUAGACAGCAACCGUGGCAAUCCAUGGCAUGAGCCACCAUGCCCAGCUUCCUUGUCUGUCAAUGCUGUACUCAGGGUUUCCUAUUUAGUAGCAAAAUGUUUCUUAACUGUGUCUUCACAUGCUUUCUCUGGAUUCUGUAUAUUUUCUGAUUAUUUAUUAGACUUAAGGUGUAUCAUUCUUUCAUAUUCAUGUUUUUUUUUUUUUUUUUUUUUGUAACUGCUCAACUUUCUGAACAGCAUGUUUCAACCUGUCAGGGAUGGCUUUAAACUGUGCCAAGCUGAAUGCAGACAUGGUACCAGUGCACCUUCUCAAAUUAGUGUGAUUAGUCAUUUGGAUGCUGCUGGAAAACUUGGACAAAGCACAUUGUUCUGUUUCUAAAAAAAUCAUGAAGUUUUUGUUUUCCGAGACUAGGUCUUGCUAGCUUUGUCUCACACUUAAGAGUGGGGGUUUAGGGCCUUGGACAUGCUAAGCACAUAUCCUAUGACUGGGCACACUGCCAGCCUUAGACAUAAUUUGAUGACUGUAGUUUUCUAAACUAUUAAAGCCAAUGAAUGUAUUGGACUCUGAAGCAACAGCUAACUGUGAGAGGGCUGUAAAACAAACCUGAAUGCAAACAGAAGAGCCUGAGAAACCACUUGCAAUAACACAAGACUUUAUUUAUGUGGGGCAUGGGGAUGGGGGUGGGGAGGGGUGGAGCUUGGGAUAAGUUACUAUUUAAGAGCUCUUGCUGCCCUUCCAGGACUCAGGUCUCAACACUGAGGUUGGGCAGAUCACAACAGCCUGUAACUCCAGCCCCAGGGGACACAAUGCCCUCUCUGGUCUCCAUGAACACUAGCACAUGUGAACAUAUUCAUUUCUCUUCCUUGCUGGCAAUUCAGGAAUUCUAACUAUCAUGUUUCUAGUGGUGUUGGAGAGGUAUCCCGGGACCACUUUGAGCAACACACACUUACCCACUUCAUAUGACCACUCCGUUGCUCAGGUUUCUGGUCGGGUUGUUUAGGGCACACCAUGUAUGCUGUACUGCAGAGCAUCUUGCCCAUGCAGUCGUAGUGAUGACUCUUCCAAGUGUCAUACAGACUCAGCUAUUCUGUUUUUAUUUUCUCAUGGUAGACCUGGAAGGCUUAGAAACCUGGCUGUGACAGUCAGAAGAGCUCCAAAUACUACAAAGUCUUCGAUGGCAGUAUAGAUGCCUUCUGACUUUGCAAAAGAAACAAUGGACUUAAAUGCAAAUGUUUCACUGGACUAAAUCUUGUAAUAUAGAAUUCUAUUUAGAAGCUUUGAUUUAUAUUUUAUUCACUGAGUUUGAAAGGAACAGUACUUUUUUUCAAAGGGUCGCUCAGCAGCCCAGUGUGGCUUGAAAUUCAUGGCAAUCGUGAGCUACCUACCAGGCCAAGUUCUUGUUUUAACAUUCUGAUUCAGACUGCCCUAUGUCCACAAAUCUGCCUCCCCCAGGUCAAUCUGAAACUGCCUUAAGCAGUCACUUUGGAAUAUAUUACAUUUUUAUUCCUGCGAUGCCAGGGAUCAAAAUGCACUGUACAUGUGUGGCAAGCACUCUACCCUGGACAUUUCACCUCAACCACGUACCAGUUAUUUGGGGGUGGUGGUGAAUCUGAGUUACUAAAGGAAUAACACUACAAAACAGCACUCCCCCUUUUUUCCAAUAUAGGAGUUUGUUUUCUGUGAUAGGGUGUACUCAGCUCCAGCUGGCCUUGAACUUCUGUUCCUGUGUGCUCAGAUUACAGGUGUGGGCCUUAAUUUUAUUCUUUUUUUUUUUUUUUUUUUUUUGGUUCUUUUUUUAGGAGCUGGGGACCGAACCCAGGGCCUUGCGCUUCCUAGGUAAGUGCUUUACCACUGAGCUAAAUCCCCAGCCCCUUAAUUUUAUUCUUAAACCAUACUCCUAACUCCUUUUCCUGAGUGUUCUGAUUGUAUUAUGCAUCAUGUUUAGUCAUGGCUGCCAAGAGGAAAUACGAAGUCCGAGUCCAUCUGGAUUCACACAAGCCAACUUAACAGCUUUCAGCUGAACACCAUUUGUAGACUCUAUUCUUCCUGCUCUUUCUAUAGCUGUUUUUAAAGCUCAAAUGUCAAGUAGGUCACUUCCAGGCUAGUGGUGUUUGUUUCCUUCCUCAGCAUUAGUCAUCCCUAUUCAGUCAGAGGCAUCGUUUAUUUGGAAAUAGGAAAAACACUGUCUCUCUCAUUUCUGAGAACUGUACCUCAAUCUAAUCUCUAGUAUACACUGCGCUCAGUGUUAUAAUCUCUAGUAAAUGGGCACUAUAAAUAAACUCUUAUCCAUGUAGCCAUACUGGUUAGGAACUGACAUAUUAAAAAGUUAUUUCACCCUGUAAGCAAAAUAAGUAAGCAUUGAUUAAAUCAUUAAGAAAUAGGAAAGGAACAUUAUGAUGAAAAUUUAGUCAUUAAAAUUCAGAAUUUAGCAUUGGAGAGCAAAUCGAUUUGUGCUGCAAAGUUCAAAGGGGUCAUUGAAGCAACUCCAGCACAUGGCAGUCUGAGGCAGGAGGGUAGCAUGGUCAAGGAAGCCUGGCCUCUGUAGCUAGAAUACAAAAGAAUUAGUCAUAUUACUUAAAGGAAGAUAAUAGCAUCUAGGAGCCUCACCACAGUAUUGCUAAUCAAUCAACUUGGAGCAAGCAGCUCCUCGCCUGGUUUCUUUGUGCAUUUCUAAAAUGCAGGGUCAGGCUAUACAGUCACCAAGCGUAAGAUUUCCAGGUUUACUUUGCUUUCUGUAAUGUAAUUCCUGUCUAGGGAAAGCUGUCUUAAGCCAAGUGUUGGUUAUGUAGAAUUCAUAAAUGUACCAAGAAUAUGACAAUUGCUUCCAGCUACAAUUUCAAAGCUCAUUUUAUUUAUUAAGCUCUUAAACAGAAUGCCUAUACGUAUUAAGAAAAAGAACUGCCAAGUAGCAGGCACAUUACCACACUUGGGAGGCGGAGGCUGGCAGUUCUGAGUUCAAAACCCUGUCUUAAAAACAGAUUGCGAUAUAUCUAUACAUAUAAUAGAUAGAGAUAGAUAGAUAGAUAGAUAGAUAGAUAGAUAGAGAUAGAGAUUUAUAGAUAUAUAUCUCUAUCUAUCCAUCCAUCCCCCUUACAUAGGACAAAGAACUGGUAAAUUUGCCAAGGUUCAUGUUCAGAAAAGUAUGACACUGAUAAAAUAUUGUUACAAUUUUCUGAUCUACCAAAAGGCAAGUAUGUAGUAAAUAAGCCUACAUUAAAAACCCCACAACUUUGGGUUAAACAAACAUUGUCUCUUAAACCACAAACCAAAGAAAAAUUAGCAGAAGGAAACAAAUAAUGAUUGAGAUAAAGAGACUAAAGAAAACAACAGAAAUGAUCAAUGAAACAUAUUAGACUGGUCUGAGAGACGCAUGGGUUUCCACAGCAGGCCAAAGAGCUGGCUUUCUGAAAAGACUGACAAACCUUUACUUGGAUUAACCAAGAAGAGGUGUAGGUGCCACACACAAAGAGGCGAGAACAUAAUAACCAACAUCAUUCAAGGGCUCAGUAGGGACUAUAGUGGAGAAUUACAUGCUAACUGAAAAGUCCUCUAGAACAGAAUUCUUUUUUUUUUUUUUUUUUUUUUUGGUUCUUUUUUUCGGAGCUGGGGACCGAACCCAGGGCCUUGCGCUUCCUAGGUAAGCGCUCUACCACUGAGCUAAAUCCCCAGCCCCUAGAACAGAAUUCUUAAUACCUACGUCGUACAGAAAUAGAUCCAUGAGACCUUAAACAGACCAGUUAACAGAAGAUUGAAUCUGUUGUUAAAUCUCUCAACCAAAGCUUUGUCAGAUGGCUUCAUGGAUGGAUUCUGUCAAAACUAAGAGAAUUAAUUACUUACUUUCAACCCAUUCAAAAGGCAUAAAUGGGAGGGAAUAUAUCUGUUAAAAGUUUCAAUGGGACCCACUUGGUAUCUGGCUAAAGUGCUGUUUUGGGAGGUUGUGGGAUCUUUACCCGAUGUAUGGCGUAGGGCCGGACAGGAGGAAGUGGGUCCUAAGGAAUGAGCUGUCUGGGUUGCUACCCAGGUCUGGGCUCAGAACAGACUGCACUUCAGUGAUGUGAACAGGCAGGCAGUCUCCUGCUGCCAUGAACUGUAUCAUCCUGGCUAGAAUAGAAUAUACCCUCAAAUGGCAAGCUAAGAUAAAUCUCCCUCCUUUAAAGAGAUCUUUAAAUUGUCUCUUAUCAGGUAUUUUGAUCACAGUGGCACACUUUCCAAACCCAUUCUUAGCAGCUGGUACCACACAAGGACACACCACAAAAAGAAAACAAUAUUCCUCAUGAACAGAGAUGCAAAAAUCUUGCAAAAGAACCAGUAAGACCAUCAGUGAAGUACACACAGAAGUGAAAUGGUGAGGGGCUAGGAAAGAAACAUUGAUUAAGACCCUUGCCUUUGGACAUCUGGCUUCUUAAACUAAGAGAAUUUAAAUUUUGCUGUCAAACCCCAAAAUGGUUGAGCUGGUUUAAGUCUAGAGAUGAUAGCAUGCCAAUCACCAACAGGAUGAAGGAUUAAAGAACACAUGAUCAUCUCAAAUGUGCAAAAAAUUUUUUUCAUUAAGUUCAAUGAUGCAUUGCGAUAAAAACAUGAAAGAUUCAGAAAAACCACCUUAACCGAACAAGUACAUAGACGAACCCAGUCAGUGUUGCAGUGAGUGAGGAAAAGCUGAGAGCAGUACCAACAGCAGUAAGCGGCUUUCAUGGACACUGGUCCUAUUCAGCACAACACAAAGAGAUUUGGUUAGAAAAAACCACACAAGAACAACACAAAAAGCAUAUGAAUAGGAAGGAAAUCAAAUUAUUCCUGUGUGCAGGUGAUACUACAUUUAGAAAAGCUCAAGGUUCUAUAAAAAGAUCAGAAAGAAUAAGCAAAUUCAAUAAUGUAGAUUCAAAAUUAAUAGCUUUUCUACACAUUAGUACAAAACGGGCUAAAAACCAGCUGGGGGGAGGUGGCCCACGCCUUUAGUCCCACACUAUCGAGGCAGAGUCAAAUGGAUCCCCAAGUUCGCUGCUAGUCCGAUCUACAGAGUGAGUUCCAGAACAGCCAGGACUAUACAGAGAAACCCUGUCUUGAAAAACAAGAAAAGAAAAACAGUAGCCUUCUUCUACUCAAAGGAUAAACAGGCUCAGAAAGAAAUUAGAGAAACGACACCCUUUACAAUAGUCACAAAUAACAUAAAAUACCUCAGUGUGACUCUAACCAAGCAAGGAAAGAUCUGUAUGACAAGAACUUCAAGUCUCUGAAGAAAGAAAUUGAAGAUGAUCUCAGAAGAUGGAAAGACCGCCCAUGCUCAUGGAUUGGCAGGAUUAAUACAGUAAAACUAGUCAUCUUGCCAAAAGCAAUCUACAGAUUCACUGCAGUCCCCAUCAAAAUUCCAAGUCAGUUCUUCAUAGAGUUAGAAAGAGCAAUUUGCAAAUUCAUUUGGAAUAACAAAACCCAGGAUAGCAAAAACUAUCCUCAACAAUAAAAGAACUGGGGAAAUCUAACCUCAAGCAGUAUUACAGAGCAAUAGUGAUAAAAACUGUAUGAUAUUGGUACAGAGACAGGUGGGUAGAUCAAUGGAAUAGAAUUGAAGACCCAGAAAUGAACCCACACACCUAUUAUGGUCAGUUAAUCUUUGACAAUGGAACUAAAACCAUUCGGUGGACAAAACACCGCAUUUUCAACAAAUGGUGCUGGUUCAACUGGAGGUCUGCCUGUAGAAGAAUGCAGAUCGAUCCAUUCUUAUCUCUUUGUACAAAGCUCAAGUCCAAAUGGAUCAAGGACCUCCACAUCAAACCAGAUACAUGCAAACUAAUAGAAGAGAAAGUGGGGAGGAGUCUCAAACACAUGGGCACAGAGAAAAAUUUCCUGAACAGAACACCAGUGGCUUAUGCUCAAAGCUUCUGUAAGGUAAAGGACACUGUCAUUAGGACAAAAUGGCAACCAACAAAUUGGGAAAAUAUCUUUACCAAUCGUACAUCCUAUAGAGGGCUAAUAUUUAAUAUAUACAAAGAACUCAAGAAGUUAGACUCCAGAGAAUCAAAUAAUCCUAUUAAAAAUGGGGUACAGAGCUAAACAAAGAAUUUUCAAUGAGGAAUACCGAAUGGCUGAGAAGCACCUAAAGAAAUGUUCAACAUCUUUUGUUGUCAGGGAAAUGAAAAUCAAAACAAGCCUAAGAUUCUACCUCACACCAGUCACAAUGUGACAGCUGAUGCUGCCGAGGAUGUGGGGAGAAAGAGGAACACUCCUCCAUUGUUGGUGGGAUUGCAAGCUGGUACAACCAUUCUGAAAAUCAGCCUGGAGGUUCCUCAGAAAAUUGGACAUAGUGCUACCUGAGGACCCAGUUAUAUCACUCCUGGGCAUAUACCCAAAAGAUGCAUAUAACAAGGACACAUGCUCCACUAUGUUCAUAGCAGCCUUAUUCAUAAUAGCCAGGAGCUGGAAAGAUCCCAGAUGCCCUUCAACAGAGGAAUGGCUACAGAAAAUGUGGUACAUCUACACAAUGGAGUGCUAUUCAGCUAUAAAAAACAAUGACUUCAUGAAAUUCAUAGGCAAAUGGAUGGAACUAGAAAAUAUCAUCUUACAUGGUACAACCCAAUCAUAGAAAAGCAUACAUGGUAUGCACUCAUUGAUAAGUGGAUAUUAGCCCAAAAGCUCAGAUUACCCAAGAUACAAUCCACAGACCACAUGAAGGUCAAGAAGGGCAACCAGAGCGCAAGGCCCUGGGUUCGGUCCCCAGCUCCGAAAAAAAGAACAAAAAAAAAAAAAAAAAAAAGAAGGGCAACCAGCCCAUAUACAUACAGCCACCAAACCCAGACAAUAUUGCUGAUGCCAAGAAGUGCAUGCUGACAGGAGCCUGAUAUAGCUGUCUCCUGAGAGGCUCUGGCAGAGCAUGACGAAUACAGAGGCAAAUGCUUGCAGCCAACCAUUGAACUGAGAACGGGGUCCCUAUUCGAGGAAUUAGAGAAAGGAUUGAAGGAGCUGAAGGAGUUUACAACCCCAUAAGCACAAUAUCAACCAACCAGAGCUCCCAGGGACUAAACAACCAUCCAAAGACUACACAUGGACAGACCCAGGGCUCCAGCUGCAUAUGUAGCAGAGGAUAGCCUUGUUGGGCACCAAUGGGAGGAAAAGCCCUUGGUCCUGCCAAGGCUGGACCCCAAGUGUAGGGGAAUGUCAGGGUGGGAAGG